rnacentral:rRNA from 1 species
AACGAACGCUGGCGGCGUGCUUAAAACAUGCAAGUCGAACGAUCCGUUUCGGCGGAUAGUGGCGGACGGCUGAGUAACACGUAGGUAACCUACCCUUGAGUGGGGAAUAACCCUCCGAAAGGAGGGCUAAUACCGCAUACGAUCGCCCCGCCUCGGCGGGGUGAGGAAAGCCGUGAGGCGCUCGAGGAUGGGCCUGCGGCCGAUUAGCUUGUUGGUGAGGUAACGGCCCACCAAGGCGACGAUCGGUAGCNGGUCUAAGAGGAUGAUCAGCCAGACUGGGACUGCGACACGGCCCAGACUCCUACGGGAGGCAGCAGUUAGGAAUUUUGGGCAAAUGGGCGAAAGCCCGACCCAGCAACGCCGCGUGGGUGACGAAGGCC